UACGAAGGGUGCAAACGUUGCUCGGAAUCACUGGGCGUAAAGCGCACGUAGGCGGAUUGCUAAGUCAGGGGUGAAAUCCUGGAGCUCAACUCCAGAACUGCCUUUGAUACUGGCGAUCUUGAGUCCGGGAGAGGUGAGUGGAACUCCGAGUGUAGAGGUGAAAUUCGUAGAUAUUCGGAAGAACACCAGUGGCGAAGGCGGCUCACUGGCCCGGUACUGACGCUGAGGUGCGAAAGCGUGGGGAGCAAACAGG
rnacentral:rRNA from 1 species